rnacentral:rRNA from 1 species
AUUGAACGCUGGCGGCAUGCUUUACACAUGCAAGUCGAACGGUAACAGGCCUUCGGGUGCUGACGAGUGGCGCACGGGUGAGUAAUGCAUCGGAACGUGCCCAGAGGUGGGGGAUAACGCAGCGAAAGCUGUGCUAAUACCGCAUGUGAUCUGAGGAUGAAAGCGGGGGACCAGGCAGCAAUGUUUGGCCUCGCGCCUUUGGAGCGGCCGAUGUCAGAUUAGGUAGUUGGUGGGGUAAAGGCGUACCAAGCCGACGAUCUGUAGCUGGUCUGAGAGGACGACCAGCCACACUGGGACUGAGACACGGCCCAGACUCCUACGGGAGGCAGCAGUGGGGAAUUUUGGACAAUGGGCGCAAGCCUGAUCCAGCAAUGCCGCGUGCGGGAAGAAGGCCUUCGGGUUGUAAACCGCUUUUGUACGGAACGAAAAGGCUCUGGCUAAUACCUGGGGCUGAUGACGGUACCGUAAGAAUAAGCACCGGCUAACUACGUG